rnacentral:rRNA from 1 species
UACAGAGGUGGCAAGCGUUGUUCGGAAUUACUGGGCGUAAAGGGCUCGUAGGCGGUUUGUCGCGUCGGGAGUGAAAACCUACAGCUUAACUGUGGGCUUGCUUUCGAUACGGGCAGACUAGAGGUAUGCAGGGGAGAACGGAAUUCCUGGUGUAGCGGUGAAAUGCGCAGAUAUCAGGAGGAACACCGGUGGCGAAGGCGGUUCUCUGGGCAUGAUCUGACGCUGAGGAGCGAAAGUGUGGGGAGCGAACAGG